GUGGGUCUAGCUCAGCGGUAGAGCACAUGCUUAGCAUGCAUCGGGUCCUGGGUUCAAUCCCCAGUAACUCCA
rnacentral:tRNA from 1 species